rnacentral:rRNA from 1 species
UAUUUUGGAAGAGAUGCAUUUAUUAGAUAAAAAACCCAUGCAUACUUUUUCAAGUAUGAAAUUUGGUGAUUUACAAUAACUUAGCAAAUCGCAUAGUGAAAACAGGCGAUAAAUCAUUCAAGUUUCUGACCUAUCAGCUUUCGACGGUAUGGUAUUGGCUUACCGUGGCAGUGACGGUUAACGGGGGAUUAGGGUUCGAUUCCGGAGAGGGAGCCUGAGAAACGGCUACCACAUCUAAGGAAGGCAGCAGGCGCGCAAAUUACCCAAUUCUAACAGCAUAAGAGAGGUAGUGACAAGAAAUAACAAUACAAGGCAGUUAAAAUGCUUUGUAAUUGGAAUGAUAGAAAUUUAAACACUUUUUAAAGUAUCAAUUGGAGGGCAAGUCUGGUGCCAGCAGCCGCGGUAAUUCCAUCUCCAAUAGCGUAUAUUAAAAUUGUUGCAGUUAAAAAGCUCGUAGUUGAAUUUCUGUUAAAAAUAACCGGUCUGCUUUUAAUAAAAGUGGUAUCUUGGUGUGUUUUUAGCAAUAAUGUCCUUUGAAAUGUUUUUUACUUUAUUGUAAUAAAUAAUAUUCAGGAUUUUUACUUUGAGAAAAUUAGAGUGUUUCUAGCAGGCUAACGCUUUGAAUACUGCAGCAUGGAAUAAUAAGAUAGGAUUUUAGUUCUACAUUAUUGGUUUUAAGAACUAAAUUAAUGAUUGAUAGGGACAGUUGGGGGCAUUUGUAUUUAACUGUCAGAGGUGAAAUUCUUAGAUUUGUUAAAGACAAACUACUGCGAAAGCAUUUGCCAAAGAUGUUUUCAUUAAUCAAGAAC